GACGAACGCUGGCGGCGUGCUUAACACAUGCAAGUCGAACGAAGUGGCGCACGGGUGAGUAACGCGUAAUCAACCUGCCCUUCAGCGGGGGACAACAGUUGGAAACGACUGCCAAUACCGCAUACUGAAGGAGGGGACUGCGUCUGAUUAGCUAGUUGGAGGGGUAACGGCUAACCUAGGCGACGAUCCCUAGCUGGUCUGAGAGGAUGACCAACCAGACUGGAACUGAGACACGGUCCAGACUCCUACGGGAGGCAGCAGUGGGGAAUAUUGCACAAUGGGCGCAAGCCUGAUGCAGCCAUGCCGCGUGUAUGACGAAGGCCUUCGGGUUGUAAAGCACUUGCGGCGGGGAGCGUUACCCGCCGAGGAAGCACCGGCUAACUUCGUGCCAGCAGCCGCGGUAAUUC
rnacentral:rRNA from 1 species